GUCUUACUGGCUACUUGCCCUCAAUGGAGAAACAUCCUUCUACUCCUAAGCAACAGCAGAAAUUAAAAUCCUUAAAUGAAAAGAUGCUAUCUUCUCUCAUGACUGUUAUCCAUAAUUAGGCAUUUGGUCAGGAGUGAGUCUAUGUUAUCACAGUCCACUCAACUUCUCUCUCCCUUCCCUUUGUUGAAUGACUUCCUGACUUAUUUUCAGCAGGUACAUAAUGUUUGGCUCCUAUGUUAUGUGCAAUAACUUUUCAUUAUCAGAUCUCUUCUCCCUACUAUAUCAGAUCACUUUAUUACUGAAAUCAUGCCUCUCCUAACUUCUUUUUGAUGUCCUUUUCACUUUAGGCUACCAGUGGGCAAAUUUUCAUCUUUUGCCAUUUAAGACAUUAUUUUCACACUCUGCCUGGUAGCUAAAUAUGCUUAGAAAUUUAGGAAAGAUCACUUGGACCACUGGGUACUUUCUCAUAUAAGGAAAACAAAGUACUUGUGUGCUUAGGUGUUGCUUCUGGAGGAAUUUUCCAGAGCAUUAAGCAGUAAGUACUAACUCUCAGAAUGAUGUGAGUCUCCAGUCCUAUGAUGCCAGCUUUCCAUCUUGGUCAGGUGGAAGAAGUUUGGGUGGGUUGAAUGGGUACCAUCUUUGAUCUUAGAGGUACUAGGUAGGGCCCUCGUUUAUUGCUAUAUGAUAUUUUAGUGUAGCAGUUUUAGUGUUAACUUGAAUAUGUCAGAAGAAUUGAAGUUGGAAUUUCAAAAAAAUGCAUGAAUCAUUGUUACUUUCAAAUUCCAGUUCUCCUCCGUGGUAUAAAAUAUCACAUUUCUUUUAAUAGAUCAUAAAAUUAUUCCAAAUUGCCAGAUCCAAAUGCCGAACAACAAACAUCAUCUUUAGGAGUAGGGUUAAAUUUUACUCUCCAAUGAAAAAUUCCCAACCCAGAACAGAUUUUAGCCAGGCAGUGAGCACAGCUCGCUGGGUGAACCACACAGGCCAUGGUGGGUGCAGCGUUCAGAGCCGGAAAGCAAACAGCUGCUGUAGCCUGAUUUGAGUUAAAAUAGUGUGAGUGUUUAGUCUGGCGCACGGCUUCAGGGGAGAUUGGCAGCUGGGUCAAACAAAGUCCUUCCAUUGGCUCUCUUCCCAGGCAGCUUCUGCUAGUAUUUAGGUACUAGUGCAGUGUAGGGCCUUUCUCAGGCAAAACCUAACAUCUGACCGCACCCUCUUUGCUUUUUCCAGAAAAAAAAAAAAAAAAAAAAAAGAAGAAGAAAGAAAGAAAAAAAGCUGCUUUUUCCUCUUUUUCCUUCUUUCGUUAAGAUAAAUUCUCCAGCAGACAACUUCUCCCACUAAUUGUGUAUUAGCCAUGUAUUUUAUCUUGAGAACUGACGCACUGGGCUCUCAACAUGGUGUGGAAGGCAGCCUGUUACAGUGCUGGAUUCAUAAAAGGGCCUUUAUGGUUUGUGAAAGAAUAUCUGUGUGCUUAGGCAGGAAACUUUUUGAUCUGCAGAAAAGCCAGAAGACAUCUAGGAUAUCCUUGAAGAUUAACCAGAGAACUUUUCACAUACUUCUAAAGGGAAAAACUUAAAAUGGAUAUGAGAAGUGAAGAAAGUGAUCAUAGGAGCAAGUCAUCUCAGGUGUCUGAUGAUUUGUGAGCACCAAACGACUAUUCAGUGGAGUCACCUUUCCUUGCCUUUGAAUUAGCUUUCACUAGGCCAUGAGUCAACAUCAAUAUUUUGUCCAUCCAGAUUGUUCUACUUGUACCCAUUAGAAAAGCAAACAGUAUUGCUUAAUUCCAAAGAAGUUUGCUCUCAAAAAUAUCUUGGCAUUUGGCAAUAAGAGGAAAAGAAAGUGACAAUGAACUUCAUGGACACAGAAUUCAUUCUUUACAGUGACGAGGAAUCAUUUGAAAAAUCUUUUGUGGAGUUUGAUUUGUGACCAAAUACCAGUUCUUAUGGUUCAUCAGUGGUAGAACAGCUUUUUACAGAAAAGAUACUUUCUACUAACAUUUGAAAUUCCUUAACCAGAAUCCCCGAGAGCACAUGAUGUUCCAGUCAUUGCGCAGGGACAAGAACAUGGCAGGGAAGGAACAUAAAGAUUGUGAGAAAUGCAUUAGACUGAAAAUCAGCAAACAUGAGAACUGAUAUCUACUCAUCUGUGUUGGAUAGCAUGUCUUUGGAGAAGUCUUCCUGCACCCCUCUCCCAAUAAAGUGAAGCAUUCUGCUACUGUGCUGUCCACUAGUUUAUGCCCCUGUUUUUCUCUAGUGUAGUUAUGUGUUCACAUACCUAUCUUUUGUAUCAGAUAGUGGGUUCUCUGAUGGGAAAUACUUGGUCUUGUCCUGCUUGGUAACUUUAGCAAAGGACCCAACAUGUUGUUGAUGCUCAAUAAAUGUUUUUUGACCCAAAAACGUUCAAUCGAAAUGAAUCUUUAAUGCUGGAAAAACAGCUGCAAGGUUAGU